GACGUAGGGUGCGAGCGUUGUCCGGAGUUAUUGGGCGUAAAGGGCGCGUAGGCGGCCUGGCGCGUCGCACGUGAAAGCCCACGGCUCAACCGUGGAGGGUCGUGCGAGACGGUCAGGCUGGAGGCAGGGAGAGGCUGGUGGAAUUCCCGGAGUAGUGGUGAAAUGCGUAGAGAUCGGGAGGAACACCGGAGGCGAAGGCGGCAUCCUGGACCGGCAUUGACGCUGAGUGAGCGAAAGCCAGGGGAGCAAACGGG
rnacentral:rRNA from 1 species